UGGGGAAUAUUGGACAAUGGGCGAAAGCCUGAUCCAGCCAUGCCGCGUGUGUGAAGAAGGUCUUCGGAUUGUAAAGCACUUUAAGUUGGGAGGAAGGGCAGUAAGCGAAUACCUUGCUGUUUUGACGUUACCGACAGAAUAAGCACCGGCUAACUCUGUGCCAGCAGCCGCGGUAAUACAGAGGGUGCAAGCGUUAAUCGGAAUUACUGGGCGUAAAGCGCGCGUAGGUGGUUCGUUAAGUUGAAUGUGAAAGCCCCGGGCUCAACCUGGGAACUGCAUCCAAAACUGGCGAGCUAGAGUAGGGCAGAGGGUGGUGGAAUUUCCUGUGUAGCGGUGGAAUGCGUAGAUAUAGGAAGGAACACCAGUGGCGAAGGCGACCACCUGGGCUCAUACUGACACUGAGGUGCGAAAGCGUGGGGAGCAAACAGG
rnacentral:rRNA from 1 species